GACGAACGCUGGCGGCGUGCCUAAUACAUGCAAGUUGAGCGAUGAAGAUUGGUGCUUGCACCAAUUUGAAGAGCAGCGAACGGGUGAGUAACGCGUGGGGAAUCUGCCUUUGAGCGGGGGACAACAUUUGGAAACGAAUGCUAAUACCGCAUAACAACUUUAAACAUAAGUUUUAAGUUUGAAAGAUGCAAUUGCAUCACUCAAAGAUGAUCCCGCGUUGUAUUAGCUAGUUGGUGAGGCAAAGGCUCACCAAGGCGAUGAUACAUAGCCGACCUGAGAGGGUGAUCGGCCACAUUGGGACUGAGACACGGCCCAAACUCCUACGGGAGGCAGCAGUAGGGAAUCUUCGGAAAUGGACGAAAGUCUGACCGAGCAACGCCGCGUGAGUGAAGAAGGUUUUCGGAUCGUAAAACUCGGUUGGUAGAGAAGAACGGUGGUGAGAGUGGAAAGCUCAUCAAGUGACGGUAACUACCCAGAAAGGGACGGCUAACUACGUG
rnacentral:rRNA from 1 species